GUGGCCCCAGUCAGCAGCCA
rnacentral:rRNA from 1 species